rnacentral:lncRNA from 1 species
AUGUAAUUGAAGCCAUGUAAUUAUGCAACAUAUCAGCUGUUAAAGGCAAAUAGCCUGAGACAAAAGUAGUGACUGAGAAAUUAUUCUGAAUGUUCCUCUGCAACAUUAGCCACACUUUCCAUAUGAGACUGGUUUCUGCUAUAUGUGGUUUUCCUGUGAACAAGUUCCACAUUAACUUCUCUAUUCAAUCAACCCUCUCUGACACAGUCACCAUCUUCUGUGAAGUCAGACUAACAGUCUGUAGAUGUCUGAUAAAUGGCGUUGUUCAUCCCUGAUAUGGCUGGUCAUCUGUUUCUGGUCAUCCUCCUUUUCGUCACCUUCCAAUACAUCGAAGCCCAAGGUCCUUAUCCAAAACCAGACAUUACCUUAAAAUUUGAUGAGGACUUCAACAUCAUCUGUUUGAUUCCUGGAUCUGUCAGUCCUGACACCACCUGUUACCUGUAUGUUGGAGAGGAGAGUCAACCAUCCUUCACAGUAAAGAUCAAGAAUCGGAAAGCCACCACAGCAUCCGGACAGCAUUUCUGUCAAUUCACUCCAAAACAUAGUGAUCUGAUCAGUCGUCUUCAGUCAGUGAGGAAUAAGGAGGUGAGCUGUGACUACAGAUUGAGCUCAGGACCAAACUCUCUCUCACCACGCAGUGAUGGGUACAGCUUUGCACAUCUGGUGGGAGUUCACAUCAGUGAUCCAACAACUAUACAGACACCUUCUAUAGCAGCAGGUUCAACUGUUAGUUCUACUUGGACCCCAAACACCCCAGCGAGACCAACUACCAAUAGUCCCACUAAAUGUUUGACCUCUCCUUUGACCCCCAGUACAGCACUGAAUCCAUCAUCAGGUUCAACUGUUAGUUCUACUUUGACCACUGACACUCCAAGUAAAGGUCAAAGCUCCACAGACAUUGUUGUGAAUUCAAACAGUCAAGAAAGCGUUCCAACAGAUUCGACUGUUACUUCUACUUUGAUUACUGGCAUCACAGUGAGACCAAAUACCAGUUUGACCUCUCCUUUGACCCCCAGCACAGCAGUGAAUCCUACAUCAGGAGGUCAAAGCUCCACAGAAAGCGUUCGGGCAGGUUUGACUGUUACUUCUACUUUGACCGCUGGCAUCACAGUGACAACAACUUCUGUGCAAUUAUGGCAGGCAGCAGUGGGUGUGGCUUCUGGAGUGGGUGUGUUCCUGAUGGGAUUGACAGCUGUCUGUCUCUGCUGGAGGACCAAGAAACAUUCUCAGAGACCUACAGACAGACAGGAUGAUCACAGCCAAUGUGAUUUGGUGAUGGGAGCUAUGAGCAGUGCAGACAUGUUGGAUUCAAGGGAUGCUGGGAUCUAUUCUCUCAUCACCUUUGUACCGUCCACAUUUUUUCCCUCAGGCCCUGUUGAAGAGAAUGGACAGUCAACUGAAAAAGAAAAUUCUGAUACGUACCACGUAUACAGCUCAAUCACCGACCGACCAGCAACAUCAGCCCAACCGGAUGGGUUGUACAGUCUUCUGCAAGCACACUGACACUACACCACUGGCUCUCUGUAGCUAUUUCUCACAGAAAUACUCUUUCUUGCAGGAUGACCUUUAUUUAUCAAACAUCAUGUUACUGUAAAUAAGUAUAUAAUACAUCUGCUGCAGUACCGUUUCUAUUCAUAAGCAACAUAAGUGGCUGCCAUCCCAUAGCAAAAUGUGUAGAACUGCAGGAAAUAAGCUUUAAAACUGAAUUUCUUUCUACCCCAUGGCAUAAUGUGUACAAAUGCGGGAAAUUAGCUUUAUAACUGCAAAGUUCCCUCCACCCCAUGGCAAAAUGAGUAGAAUUUCAGGACAUUAACUUUAAAGCUGCACAUUUUUCACUAAAAUGUUUUUCUUUAGAACUUUAGAAGCCUAAAUACACUAUAAAUUUCCAUUUCCUGCUGUACAGGAAAAUUCUCAUAAAAAAAGAGUGAUCAAAUUAAGAUCCUACAUCUGUACAAUGUUUUGAAACACACUAUAGCCCAACAGUAAAGAUGGUAGAUCAGGCUAUGGGGAUGGCUUAUUUUGUUUAAAAAAGUGGUGGGUCCGCCCUCACCUCCUAAUCCCUCUUCUAUAAGAUUCUUGAUAUACAGUAAAUACAAAAUCCUACACUUUUUUACUCUGUUCGAAACGCUCUCUUCUGUAAAACAAAAAGCAUGCAAAAUACAUUGAAUUCAACCAUUCCCUCGUCUUUGUUAGUAUUUUACAUUAUUUGAUUUUGAUCUUGAUUAUUCAAGAUAAUGCUAAAAAUAUGUACUGUAAUCCAUGUCAUCGUUUUCAGGCCGUUGGUGAAGAUCAAGGUGCUAUUUUCCCUAAAUGUUUUUUUCAGUCCAUAUAACUACCUUGUCAUCUUAACCAAACCUCUUUUGGUCGGUUUCCCAGAGACAGUUUAUGCUUAGUUCUGGACUAAAAAGCAUGUUCAAUGGAAAAGUUACAUAUUUUUACUCCAGUGGUAAACUUAAUCUGGGUCUGGGAAACCAACCAUUGGUGUUAUGGACUACAGGUAGUCAAGGACAUUGAUCAUUUUGCAUCCAGAUUCUAUGUAUUGUGGUUAGUUCUACUGUGAAGGGGGCAAAGAUGACUACAUUCUCCUGCAGCAGUCACAGAAAGUCUGCAGAUCACAUACCAACCAGUACAUGUAUACUGUCACGUAUCCACACCUACAAACAGGUGCACGAGUGCACAAUAUACACAAACCACAGCAGGGUGGAAAGGAUGACAUCUUGUCCUUCUGAAACUUCAGCCUAUCACAUUUGUGACUCGUUUCAGGAAACUAGGCAUAUGUCAGGCAUCACUACUUCACAGGAGAGGCAUGGACUUAAAAAAAAAUCUAAAUGCAUUUUUUGGGCAGAAAUGCCAUCUGGAACAUGUAUGCCAUCUGUAAAUAUGAAUAAAAUUGUUAAAAUGAUGAACCUAGUUGAUUUAACCACGGAAAAAGACAGGAACAUUGUGAGAUGGCGACCACAGAUAUGGCAGCUCUGCUUCUAGCUACUAAGCAACUUGGCAGUUAUUUCUUACAUUAUUACCCCAGGAAAUGUUUUGUGUUAUUACAUACAGAACUAUUCGAUAUCAGAGCGGCGGUAACUCACCAGCAAAAUUACCGGGAAUACAACUUUCUCAAAUUGGAUCCUGUGGUGUACGUACCCCCCGGGUCAAUUGAACUGUUUCCAGAGGCUGAUCCAAAACAAUGCCAUUGAAGAAGAGGUAUUCGGAGUGGACUUCUAGUCCAACUCAGGUGGCGCGCACACCAUCCACCACCUCCGAGUAUAUUACUCGCUAAUGUUCAGUCUCUGGAUAAUAAAGUAGAUGACCUCAGUGCAAGAAUCUUCUUCCAAAGAGACAUCAGGGAUUGUAACAUACUCUGUUUCAUGUAAACAUGAAUCUCUCGGGAUAUACUGUCCAUACAGCCAGCUGGGCUCUCAAUAUGUCUUGCUUCAAGAUGUCAACCAUUGUUCUGAGACCCAAGAAGGCAAAAGUAACUGAAAUAAAUUACUCUCGCCCCGUAGCACUCACUUCUGCCAUCAUGAAGUGCUUGGAGAGGCUAGGUGAUCAUAUCACCUCUACCUUACCUGACACCCUAGACCCACUUAAAUUUGCCCUAUUCCAUCUGGACAAGAGGAAUGCCUAUGUAAGAAUGCAUUUCAUUGACUAUAGCUCAGAAUUCAACACCAUAGUACCCUCCAAGCUCAUCAUUAAGCAACUGGGUCCUGGACUUCCUGACGGGCCGCCCCGAGGUGGUGAAGAUAGGGAACAUCUCCUCCACUUCGCUGCUCUUCAACAUAGGGACCCCACUAGGGUACGUGUUCAGCCCCCUCCCUGUUCACUCAUUACUGGUUGGCCACUGUGGGAGAAAUUAGGUACAUAUAUGGAUAAAUAUACUGUCCUAUAUAAAAGAAGGAUGCAUUUGCCAUUCUGGUAAGGUACAUUGUCUAUUGUAUAGGACAGGAAGCCAGAGUGGGGCCAUGGGAGAGGGCAACACAUAGACGCCUAGGGCAGCUGGACAUACAAAGGUCAGAGGUUGUCUAAGGAGGGGGUCAGCCAAAGGACCAACUGAUGGAUUACAGACAUCAAUCACAUCACAGGAGACAAGUCUGUUUGAUCUUAGACAACCACAUGAAGAGAAGGCGACCAGAACAGCUGGGCACCCUAAAGCUAAAGGAGAUGAAAGACACAUACAAAAGACACACAGAGUUAAUUACAGAGAUAAAGCAAGCCUAUAGCAUAGAGGAAUGUAUAGUAUUUUUAGUAUAGCUGAGCAUGCUAAAAACAGAAGAGACACAUAGUCUGCUGACCCUAGAUAACACACAAACAGGAGAACGCAUUAAGCUGAGUGAAGGGUCAAAGCAAGGGUCUUGUCACCAUUAGGAUCUAAUGGAAAGCAGAUGGGGGCGUUAUUGGGCUGAACAAGCAGGAAGCACGGAUUGGGAUGUAACUUAAUUUGCAUAUGGGAGGGACUUAUACGGUAGGUGUAUAACUCAGAGCGAGGGCUCUGAAAAAGUGUGUGUUCCGCGGACCGCUCCGGCUUAUGAUACUGUUAUAUUAAAAGUCUAUAUUGAUUUUCACAAAGUUCUUGGUUGUGUCAUAUUUGAACCGAUUUUCCACUACACCACUCACAAAUCCAACUCAAUUAUCAAGUUUGCAGACGACACAACAGUAGUACGACUGAUUACCAAACAUGACGAAACCCUGGGAGUGUGGUGCCAGAAAAAUAACCUCU